ensembl:lncRNA
AAAGCCGAGCGUGGGCUGCCGGGGCCGUAGGCAAAUGCACAGGUGCUUCUCACUCCUGGGCCCUUCCUGGAAACGUGCGGCGCUUUGCUUUGCAUCCUCACCCUCGGUAGGUGCUCGCACCAAUGCGGCUGUGCCUUUUGGAGCCCUCCUUGCCCAAACCUGGUCCCAGCAAGGAAAACCAGCCUUGUUCCCAGCGGGAUGCUGAGAGGGAGGUGCUGCUGCCCACCGCCGCUGGCCGGAUAUUACUUCAAAUGAAAACCCUGCAUGUGAAAAAUGGGAAGCUGCUUCUGUAUGAAACACUUCAAGUUAAUCAAGCUCAACUUUUGCACUUUUUGCCUUGUUACUAUUCUUGUUUCAGCGGGGGAUGGAUAGCCCUGGAUAUUGAAAUAAUACAUGACCAUCAGAAGCAGCGAUUUUGAGCUGCUUCUCCCUGAUGCAUUCCAGGCCUUAGCAGCAAAUAUCAAUACCAUCAAAUAAAAUGUCAUUUUUUCGUGACCCA